rnacentral:rRNA from 1 species
GCACAAGCGGUGGAGCAUGUGGUUCAAUUCGACGCAACGCGAAGAACCUUACCUGGGCUCGAAAUGUAGUGGACCGGGGUGGAAACAUCCCUUUUCGCAAGAACUGCUAUAUAGGUGCUGCAUGGCUGUCGUCAGCUCGUGUCGUGAGAUGUUGGGUUAAGUCCCGCAACGAGCGCAACCCUUGUCUGCUGUUGCCAUCACGUUAUGGUGGGCACUCUGCAGAGACUGCCGGUGAUAAACCGGAGGAAGGUGGGGAUGACGUCAAGUCAGCAUGGCCUUUAUGUCUGGGGCUACACACGUGCUACAAUGGCAGAUACAAACCGUCGCGAGACCGCAAGGUGGAGCUAAUCGGAUAAAGUCUGUCUCAGUUCGGAUUGUCGGCUGCAACUCGCCGGCAUGAAGUUGGAAUCGCUAGUAAUCGCGGAUCAGCACGCCGCGGUGAAUACGUUCCCGGGC